ACUGUGGAGGGGCAGGAGCUGGACUGGAUGAUCCUUGUGGGUCCUUUCCAACUCAGGCUAUUCCCUUCCAUUCCCUUCCAUUCCCUUCCAUUCCCUUCCAUUCCCUUCCCUUCCAUUCCCUUCCCUUCCAUUCCCUUCCAUUCCAUUCCAUUCCAUUCCAUUCCAUUCCAUUCCAUUCCAUUCCAUUCCAUUCCAUUCCAUUCCAUUCCAUUCCAUUCCAUGCUGCAGUGUUUCCUGUUGGCAGCAAAUUCAUGUCUGCGUUAUUAUUCACCGGUAAUGACAUCAUCUGGAACUGAAGGAAAUCAGUUUUGGACAAGUUACUUUGUUACUGCUUCCAUUUGAGUUCAGAUUUACUUUUUAAACUUUUAAAUAUGUUGUGCUUUGAAAUGGCACAAACCCACAUAAAAGCUUUGAUAAGAAGGGAGAAGAAAAAUCUCGUCUCGGAGGUACCUCGUUUGCCAGAAUAAGACCAUAGGAGUAAAUUGUCCUACUGGGGACUGAGAGGUGGGAAGUUCUUUUGCAAGAGCACUUAGAGCUUCACUGAGAUACUAUUUCAUUUGUCUUCCUCAGCUGGAUUAAAGUUUGUGAGCUUGGUUGUUGUAUUUUUAAACAGGGAAACGUUAAAGGUGUAAGCAGGGAAGUGCUGGUGGCUCCUGGCACUGGGAGCGUUGGUCUUGGCUGCCAGGCAGGGCCGCUGCCAUCCCAGGCAGGAUGCCAUGUGUUUCCCAGAAAAGAAGCUGGGAGCUUGGUUCCAUUUAAAAUGUCUGGUUACAUCAAAUUCUGAUACUUGCUGAGCUUAUGAACUCUUCCUUCCGUGUGCUCAGAGGAGAUUGGAGUCCCUCAGGUGCCUUGCCUAGACCCUUGAAGACCCCUGUGUGCUUCCUGCUGUUCUUUGCUUUAGUUCACAUUCCAGUUUGGGCAGAUUUACCUUAUGGAAUGCUGGUGUGCUGCACUGGAAGGUUGUUCACAUUUCAGCCAUGUGACUCAAAGGUGUUUGGUAUUGCCCUGCUUCCAUUCCAGCAGCUACAAGGGCAGAGAUUCCUUCUGGCUGUUGGUCAGAUCAUCGUACCCUGAACAGUUCUGUAAAUCCCACCACGUCUCCCUAGGUUAGAAUGAGCAUGAACCUCUCUUCCCUCCUCGGAAAUUCCCAGGGCUGGGGCCCCAUCCAGAGCCAUGCUGUGUUUCUCACAGGAGUAAGCUCCAGUUCACCUCCACGUCGUGAGACUGAGUCUGUGUGUUUGCUGAGCCAGGCUCAUCCGAAAAUAGGGCUUAAAAGAACAGUUUUGUAAAAUGUAGUGUUAAUUUGGAGUUAAUUAAUUUUCUAGGAAUGGCCUAUGACAUUCCUGAGGGCUUGUACUGCUGCAGCACCUGAUGGGCUGCCAGUUAUUGCAAGGCUUUGCAGGAGAUGUCUGUGGUGUCCUCGAGGAGAUGCUGUUGUGAAAGCUGUAAGGAACAACCUCCCAUGGCAGGUGUUGCUGUGGUGUAUAGGUUUGUGCUCUGUAAUUGCUGAUGAACAGUGAUAAACCCCAAACCACACAGUCCACAGCAGGAAUCUGCUCAGCAGCAGAGCCUUGGGACCUGCUUCAGUAAAUAGAGGUUCUGUUGGAGGCAAGAGGGAGAAAAGGGGCCCCAGCAUCAAACCACUUUGGCCGAUCCAUCAUCGUCAACCUGUUCCAUCACAGAGCUUGUAAAAGGGAGAGUGUGAGGGAGACCAGUGCUACCAGUCAGCUGGUAAAGUGUGUCCAGCCAGGGUGGAAUUACCAGGUGGAACAAGUCAUUAUGAGUCCAUGGGCAUAAAGGACAAGACCAGUCCAGUGCCUGGUCUCCUGGGACCCCCCUGUGAUGUGUGCCUAUUGCUGCCAUGGUUUUCUAAACAUACAGGUUUGCUUUGUUUCCCUCUAUCAAGUAUGUUAUCCAUCAUUCCCAGACACACCUGCCAUGUGUAGCAAAGGUGAAGAUGAAGCAUCUCCACAGUGGUUGUUUUCAGCAAUGGGACAGUGCUGAGCACUCUGUGGGCAGGAGGAUCCUGUACUGUCACAUGGAUGGGUUAUCCUGGAGCUCAUUUUGGAGCUUCCCCUGUGAACAUUACUGUUGGCUCAGGAUGUUUGUCAUGCAAAAUAGAACAUGAAAAGAUCUCAGCCAUCAGGAAGUUUAGGAGGAAUUGUUCUGCUGACAGAGGCUUUUGUUAGGAGUGUCCUGCGAGGAGACAGGUCUGAGGGCAUUGAGCCUGUAAGAGAGCAAAAGGUGUCUGUUCAGGUGUAUCUACCUCAAGCUGAGUAGCAGAAGAGCAGAGGUGCUGUCCCCAGAGGUGGGUGUCGUGGCUGGUGUGUUUGGCGGUUGUCGGUGGCACCUGCACGUCAGUUGAAGAUGAAACAGAAACUGUGUGUAAAGAACAGAAGGUGACCAGCAAAAGGAGCAGAGGAGAGGAGGAAAGCAACACAGACAAAACACGUGCAGAGCAGUUUGCUCACACCUGCAGGCUGCUGGAUUGCCCUGAGAGCGGGAGCUCUGUCGUCCCGGCGGUGGCCUGGGCUGGGGUGCAGUGGGUGCUGGGCAAGGCCUGCACAGUGGUGUGGUCUGCUUUGUCACCUUCCCCUGCUCCCAGGCUGGGGUGAGCCCUUCUUGGCUCCCUGAAGCUACAGUGUGGCCACCCAGCCUGGAAAAAGUUUUUACAUGUGGCCAGAUUAUUUUGUGGACCAGUGCUGCUGCUUUCAGUGGGGUUACACAAGGAAUAAACUAAAACUAAGAGAA